rnacentral:rRNA from 1 species
AUGCUUCUCCUUACUGAUUCGUAUGGAAUUAGCCAGACCCGACGAUCAAGUUCUUGGUUGUUGCCACCAAUUCUCUUGCUCUUAUUAAGCUCAGCCUUAGUAGAAGUGGGCAGCGGCACUGGCUGGACAGUCUAUCCGCCCUUAAGUGGUAUUACCAGCCAUUUUGGAGGAGCAGUGUAUGUAGCAAUUUUUAGUCUUCAUCUAUCAGGUACUUCAUCAAUUUUUGGUUCUAUCAAUUUUAUAACCAUCUUCAACAUGCGUGGACCUGGAAUGACUAUGCAUAGAUUACCACUUUUUGUGUGGUCUGUUCUAGUGUCAACAUUCAUACUUUUAUUAUCACUUCCGGUACUGGCGGGGGCAAUUACAAUGCUAUUAACCAAUCGAAACUUUAAUACAACCUUUUUUGAUCCUGCAGGAGGGGCAGACCCAAUAUUAUACCAGCAUCUCUUUUGGUUCUUCGGUCAUCCAGAGGUGUAUAUUCUCAUUCUGCCUAGAUUUGGUAUUAUUAGUCAUAUCGUAUCGACCUUUUCAAGAAAACCGGUCUUCGGGUAUUUAGGCAUGGUUUAUGCCAUGAUAAGUAUAGGCGUUCUUGGAUUUCUAGUUUGGGAUCAUCAUAUGUUUACUCUGGGCUUAGACGUUGAUACACGUGCCUACUUCACCGCAACUACCAUGAUCAUAGCUAUGCCCAUAGGAAUCAAAAUCUUUAGUUGGAUAUCUACCAUGUGGGGAGGUUCGAUACAAUACAAAACACCCAUGUUAUUUGCUGUAGGGUUCAUCUUUUUGUUCACCAUCGGCGGGCUCACUUGA